CCUGAAUUCUCUAGCAGCAUAAGAAAAUUCAGUCUUGGUGAAGUAAGUGGGGGAGCUUUAGUGUGCAGGUACAGGCUUGGUGUAUGAGCUGGGCAAGCACAGAUGUGAGAAAUUCAGGCAUGCCAAGAGAGAAGUGCAGAUGGACAAUGCAUCUGAAACAGCCAUGGCUAGUACAGGGCUUGGCAUUGGCUCUGAACUCAUCUCCCAGGCUUCCUCUUCAUCAAGAGAAAGAAGAAGGCAUCUCCAAAACAGAUAAAUGUGUUGGGGAUUGAAUCAGGGAGGAAUGCCAACGGAAAAGUUGACUGAAUGUUAAAAAACAUUGCUAUUUCCUGAAGUUUCUGUUGAGUUAAUUGUAACUCAGCCCUUACACUGACAAAACUAAUAGUGAAAUUGAUUUGUUUAAAAACACAUCUGCCUGGAUACAGCAUUUCUGUUAUUUUCCCUGACGUUCUGCUCUUAUCUCAGUAAAAUCCAUGUAUUGCAGUACAGUGGCAGUAUUGCAGUCUUGUUCAAAUAAAUGUAAUAUCAUUUCUCUCUGAAGCA
rnacentral:lncRNA from 1 species